AGCUCCAGUAGCGUAUAUUAAAGUUGUUGCAGUUAAAAAGCUCGUAGUUGGAUUUCUGGUUGGUCGCACUGGCCCGGCUGUUUUUUUCAGUACGUGUGUCGGUUUCGCGGCUUACCAUCCUUCUAGCAGAUCGUUGCUACCCUUUCCGGGGUUGGCUUCGAAAUCUAGAUCAUUUACUUUGAAGAAAUUAGAGUGUUUAAAGCAGGCUUACGCUAUGAAUACAUUAGCAUGGAAUAAUAAUUUAGGGCUUCAGCCUAAUUUGUUGGUUUCUAGUGUUGAAGCAAUGAUUGAUAGGGAUAGUUGGGGGUGCUCGUAUUCAGUGGCCAGAGGUGAAAUUCUUGGAUUCACUGACGACGAACUUAUGCGAAAGCAUUCACCAAGGAUGUCUUCUUUAAUCAAG
rnacentral:rRNA from 1 species